rnacentral:rRNA from 1 species
CCUACGGGUGGCAGCAGUGAGGAAUAUUGGUCAAUGGACGAGAGUCUGAACCAGCCAAGUAGCGUGAAGGAUGACUGCCCUAUGGGUUGUAAACUUCUUUUAUAUGGGAAUAAAACGUUCCACGUGUGGGAUUUUGUAUGUACCAUAUGAAUAAGGAUCGGCUAACUCCGUGCCAGCAGCCGCGGUAAUACGGAGAAUCCGAGCGUUAUCCGGAUUUAUUGGGUUUAAAGGGAGCGUAGGUGGAUUGUUAAGUCAGUUGUGAAAGUUUGCGGCUCAACCGUAAAAUUGCAGUUGAAACUGGCAGUCUUGAGUACAGUAGAGGUGGGCGGAAUUCGUGGUGUAGCGGUGAAAUGCUUAGAUAUCACGAAGAACUCCGAUUGCGAAGGCAGUUCACUGGACUGCAACUGACACUGAGGCUCGAAAGUGUGGGUAUCAAACAGGAUUAGAUACCCUAGUAGUC